AUUGAACGCUAGCGGGAGGCCUAACACAUGCAAGUCGAACGGAGUGGCGGACGGGUGAGUAAUAUAUGGGAACGUGCCAAGUAGCGGGGGAUAACUACGGGAAAGAGUGGCUAAUACCGCAUACUAUCGGAGCGUCCGAUAUCGGAUGAGCUAGUUGGUGGGUUAACGGCUCACCAAGGCCACGAUCCCUAGCUGGUCUGAGAGGACGACCAGCCACACUGGUACUGAGACACGGCCCAGACUCCUACGGGAGUCAGCAGUGGGGAAUUUUGGACAAUGGGCGAAACCCUGAUCCAGCCAUGCCGCGUGUAUGAUGAAGGCCUUCGGGUUGUAAAGUACUUUUGGCGGGGAAGCGGUACCCGCAGAAGAAGCACCGGCUAACUCCGUGCCAGCAGCCGCGGUAAUAC
rnacentral:rRNA from 1 species